UGGGGAAUUUUGGACAAUGGGCGCAAGCCUGAUCCAGCCAUGCCGCGUGCGGGAAGAAGGCCUUCGGGUUGUAAACCGCUUUUGUCAGGGAAGAAAUCUUCUGAGUUAAUACCUCGGGAGGAUGACGGUACCUGAAGAAUAAGCACCGGCUAACUACGUGCCAGCAGCCGCGGUAAUACGUAGGGUGCAAGCGUUAAUCGGAAUUACUGGGCGUAAAGCGUGCGCAGGCGGUUUUGUAAGACAGAGGUGAAAUCCCCGGGCUCAACCUGGGAACUGCCUUUGUGACUGCAAGGCUUGAGUGCGGCAGAGGGGGAUGGAAUUCCGCGUGUAGCAGUGAAAUGCGUAGAUAUGCGGAGGAACACCGAUGG
rnacentral:rRNA from 1 species